UACGUAGGGGGCAAGCGUUGUCCGGAUUUAUUGGGCGUAAAGAGCGUGUAGGCGGCUAGGUAGGUCCGUUGUGAAAACUCGAGGCUCAACCUCGAGACGUCGAUGGAAACCAUCUAGCUAGAGUCCGGAAGAGGAGAGUGGAAUUCCUGGUGUAGCGGUGAAAUGCGCAGAUAUCAGGAAGAACACCAGUGGCGAAGGCGGGUCUCUGGACGAGUUCCUGACGCUGAGGCACGAAGGACCAGGGGAGGCAAACGGG
rnacentral:rRNA from 1 species